GGCGAGCUCCGGCCGCCGCUCCCGUGCUCGCUCGGAGUCCCCGCGCCCGGUCGGAUGGAAGAAACCUGUCAGGACUCCCCAGAGACACUAGACAAGACUGGGGCGCCGCGAAGCUGUCCUGAGUGCCCAGGGUGGAGUGUUCAGGGGCUUUCUGUUUCCCCAAGGACGCCUCCUGUUUAGUAGUAGAGUGCAAGCCUACAGAAGGCAUUAUGAAUCCGGAUGCAAAGCUGUCAGCAUGUGUCCUCCAGUAUCCUCGGUUCAUGGAAUAUGUGCAUCCUGACCAACAGGAUAAAGGGCUAGACCACUGGCACCUAGGCUUUCUUGUGAUCUUGACAUGUGAUGAUUCUGGGCAUUCUGAGCUUCAGAAUGUUUUCUUCUAGACAAAGUGUGGAGACAAACAAGAGGGCAGAUGCUGCAUGACCUCUCUUCCCAUGGAGCUGUGCCCCUCCAUACUCGCCCGUCCACUUGAACCCAGAGAAUAACCUGCGUGAAGUGCAUUCUCGCAUCUGCAGAGCAGACACCACUGUGCUGGCCUUUGCUUGAGAAAGGAUAAAGGAAGGGAAGCCGCAGCUGCUGUAGGCACAAACAGCGGACAAGCCUCACUGUGUGGCCCCUUCACAAAAGGAGCUGCAGAAAGUCGGCCAACAGAUGUGUAUGCCGAAGAGCCAUCCGCAGAUCCACCUGCCACGGCAAUUAGUUAGAUGUGUAAAGAACUGUCUAGGUGAAGUGAACUGAGACUCUAACCAAAGCAUAUUUCCAACUCCUGUAGUAUGGCUUUAAAGAUCACCUCAUCCCACUGUAACCUACUCCUUUCAAUUUCAAGGUCAAGUCAGGGAGGCCCAGGAAAGUCAGAGAGGGAAGAUUUAUCCCCUUUCUAGACUGUGUAUAUUAUGAUAAAACUUGAGGUUUUAUUUUUAUUUUUAAAAAAUCUUUAUUAUU